AUUGAACGCUGGCGGCAUGCCUUACACAUGCAAGUCGAACGGCAGCAUGGAAGAGCUUGCUCUUCUGAUGGCGAGUGGCGAACGGGUGAGUAAAGCAUCGGAACGUACCGUGUAGUGGGGGAUAACGUAGCGAAAGUUACGCUAAUACCGCAUACGAUCUACGGAUGAAAGCGGGGGAUCGCAAGACCUCGCGCGAUUGGAGCGGCCGAUAUCAGAUUAGGUAGUUGGUGGGGUAAAGGCUCACCAAGCCAACGAUCUGUAGCUGGUCUGAGAGGACGACCAGCCACACUGGAACUGAGACAACGGUCCAGACUCCUACGGGAGGCAGCAGUGGGGAAUUUUGGGACAAUGGACGCAAGUCUGAUCCAGCCAUUCCGCGUGCAGGAUGAAAGGCCCUCGGGUUGUAAACUGCUUUGUACGGAACGAAAAGGUUUCUAUUAAUACUAGGAGCUCAUGACGGUACCGUAAGAAUAAG
rnacentral:rRNA from 1 species